rnacentral:rRNA from 1 species
GACGAACGCUGGCGGCGUGCUUAACACAUGCAAGUCGAACGGAAAGGCCCUGCUUUUGUGGGGUGCUCGAGUGGCGAAAGGGUGAGUAACACGUGCGUAACCUGCCCUUGACUUUGGGAUAACUUCAGGAAACUGGGGCUAAUACCUGAUAGGAGCUCCUGCUGCAUGGGGGGGGUUGGAAAGUUUCGGCGGUUGGGGAUGGACUCGCGGCUUAUCAGCUUGUUGGUGGGGUAGUGGCUUACCAAGGCUUUGACGGGUAGCCGGCCUGAGAGGGUGACCGGCCACAUUGGGACUGAGAUACGGCCCAGACUCCUACGGGAGGCAGCAGUGGGGAAUAUUGCACAAUGGGCGGAAGCCUGAUGCAGCAACGCCGCGUGCGGGAUGACGGCCUUCGGGUUGUAAACCGCUUUCGGCUGUGACGAAGCGUGAGUGACGGUAAUGGGUAAAGAAGCACCGGCUAACUACGUG